UACGUAGGGACCAAGCGUUGUUCGGAUUUACUGGGCGUAAAGGGCGCGUAGGCGGCGUGUUAAGUCACUUGUGAAAUCUCUGAGCUUAACUCAGAACGGUCAAGUGAUACUGAUGUGCUAGAGUGCAGAAGGGGCAACCGGAAUUCUUGGUGUAGCGGUGAAAUGCGUAGAUAUCAAGAGGAACACCUGAGGUGAAGACGGGUUGCUGGGCUGACACUGACGCUGAGGCGCGAAAGCCAGGGGAGCGAACGGG
rnacentral:rRNA from 1 species